rnacentral:rRNA from 1 species
AUUGAACGCUGGCGGAAUGCUUUACACAUGCAAGUCGAACGGUAGAGGGGGCAACCCCUUGAGAGUGGCGAACGGGUGAGUAAUAUAUCGGAACGUGCCCAGGUCGUGGGGGAUAACGUAGCGAAGUUACGCUAAUACCGCAUACGAUCUACGGAUGAAAGCGGGGGAUCGCAAGACCUCGCGCGAUUGGAGCGGCCGAUAUCAGAUUAGGUAGUUGGUGGGGUAAAGGCUCACCAAGCCAACGAUCUGUAGCUGGUCUGAGAGGACGACCAGCCACACUGGAACUGAGACACGGUCCAGACUCCUACGGGAGGCAGCAGUGGGGAAUUUUGGACAAUGGACGCAAGUCUGAUCCAGCCAUUCCGCGUGCAGGAUGAAGGCCCUCGGGUUGUAAACUGCUUUUGUACGGAACGAAAAGGUCUCUCUUAAUACGAGGGGCUCAUGACGGUACCGUAAGAAUAAGCACCGGCUAACUACGUG